UUGUACCACAUCACUGCCAAAGGGGAUGAGGAGAUAAACACAAACGUAACAUGACCCUUAAACACCCCCCCCCCCUCCCCACAAUAUAAAUCAUCAUCAUAACAUAACAACAAGCUUUACAUCACCAUCAAAUUAACAGACAAAAUAUUAAUUGAAAUAAAAUACUAUAACCGACACAUAUUCAAACAAAACCAGAAUCCUACUCCAAAUCUCCACCUGUAUAUGAAAACAGAAAAAAUGCCAAUUUCAUUACAACUGGAAAAAAAAAAGAAAAAACACAUUUAUGUAAUUAUAAAGCUAAAAAUUAAAUAAAAUAAAAAAUAAAUCCGUAUACAUUGAAUUAAAUUAAAUGAAGUUAGGCAAUCAAUUAUUGCAUUUAAUCGAAACUUCCAGACGUGUAGACCUGCCGACUUACCAUCUAUGAAUUGGUUUCUGUGUAAAUUUAGGUCUGUUUUUUCUUACAUGAAAUUAGAAGAAAGCAAUUUUAAGAGAAAGUAAUUUUCGAUCGCACAUAGUACAAGUAUGUAACCUGAAUAUGUGUAUGUAUGUUGAAAGUUGAAACUUGUUACUUACAGAUGAGAAGGACGGGAUUAGAGGACUACUUGGUGAUGGCAUAGAUAGCAUAAAUAAUACCAGGGAUGUACCCAAACAGGGUGAGUACAAGACAUAUCCAGAACUCCACCUGCAUCAAUUUUUUAUUUAAUUACGGUUCAUAUUAUAUAAUAUCAUGUAAUAAAAAUGAAAAAG
rnacentral:lncRNA from 1 species